UACGUAGGGGGCAAGCGUUGUCCGGAUUUAUUGGGCGUAAAGAGCGUGUAGGCGGCUAGGUAGGUCCGUUGUGAAAACUCGAGGCUCAACCUCGAGCUGUCGAUGGAAACCAUCUGGCUAGAGUCCGGAAGAGGAGAGUGGAAUUCCUGGUGUAGCGGUGAAAUGCGUAGAUAUCUGGAGGAACACCGGUGGCGAAGGCGGCAUCCUGGACCGGUAUUGACGCUGAGGCGCGAAAGCUAGGGGAGCAAACGGGG
rnacentral:rRNA from 1 species